GCAAUUAAAGAAGACAACCAAAAAACCCUAAGGGCUGAACAUUUUUUUCAUCUCCUGCACCCUAGGCAGCCGCCCCCCCUCCCCUGGAUUUUCUUCUCUGCUCCCUCAACUACACAGCCGGCUCCCUCUUUUCCUUUCCUUUCCCCCCUGCCCAGCACCAGCUCCCACAACACCGUUUCCCUCCAGCUUCUUCACCCAAAACCAUCCUUCCAUCUCCAGUUUUCUGCUCACACAAGACAGCCCCUCACCUCCUCUCUCUUACUCCGAUCUUCACUCAUCAACUGGCCAUAGACCAACAACAGCCACGAAUUAGCUCCCCCUUCCACAGAUCCUCUCUCAGCUGCUCCCUUCUCCAGCC
rnacentral:lncRNA from 1 species